rnacentral:rRNA from 1 species
GACGAACGCUGGCGGCGUGCCUAAUACAUGCAAGUCGAACGCUUCUUUCCUCCCGAGUGCUUGCACUCAAUUGGAAAGAGGAGUGGCGGACGGGUGAGUAACACGUGGGUAACCUACCCAUCAGAGGGGGAUAACACUUGGAAACAGGUGCUAAUACCGCAUAACAGUUUAUGCCGCAUGGCAUAAGAGUGAAAGGCGCUUUCGGGUGUCGCUGAUGGAUGGACCCGCGGUGCAUUAGCUAGUUGGUGAGGUAACGGCUCACCAAGGCCACGAUGCAUAGCCGACCUGAGAGGGUGAUCGGCCACACUGGGACUGAGACACGGCCCAGACUCCUACGGGAGGCAGCAGUAGGGAAUCUUCGGCAAUGGACGAAAGUCUGACCGAGCAACGCUGCGUGAGUGAAGAAGGUUUUCGGAUCGUAAAACUCUGUUGUUGGAGAAGAACAAGGACGUUAGUAACUGAACGUCCCCUGACGGUAUCUAACCAGAAAGCCACGGCUAACUACGUG